GCAUAUCAAGAAGCGGAGGAAAAGAAACCAACCGGGAUUGCCCUAGUAACGGCGAGUGAAGCGGCAACAGCUCAAAUUUGAAAUCUGGCUCUUUUAGAGUCCGAGUUGUAAUUUGCAGAGGGCGCUUUGGCUUUGGCAGCGGUCCAAGUUCCUUGGAACAGGACGUCACAGAGGGUGAGAAUCCCGUACGUGGUCGCUGGCUAUUGCCGUGUAAAGCCCCUUCGACGAGUCGAGUUGUUUGGGAAUGCAGCUCUAAAUGGGUGGUAAAUUCCAUCUAAAGCUAAAUAUUGGCGAGAGACCGAUAGCGAACAAGUACAGUGAUGGGAAGAUGAAAAGAACUUUGAAAAGAGAGUGAAAAAGUACGUGAAAUUGUUGAAAGGGAAGGGCAUUAGAUCAGACUUGGUGUUUUACGAUUAUCUUCUCUUCUUGAGUUGUGCACUCGUAUUUCACUGGGCCAGCAUCGAUUCGGAUGGCAAGAUAAUGGCAGUUGAAUGUGGCUUCACUUCGGUGGAGUGUUAUAGCUUCUGCUGAUAUUGCCUGUCUGGAUCGAGGGCUGCGUCUUUUGACUAGGAUGCUGGCGUAAUGAUCUAAUGCCGCCCGUCUUGAAACACGGACC
rnacentral:rRNA from 1 species